rnacentral:rRNA from 1 species
UACCAGCUCUCCGAGUGGUAGGGACGAUUAUUGGGCUUAAAGCGUCCGUAGCCGGCUUAGCAAGUCUCCUGUUAAAUUCAGCGACCUAAUCGUUGAGCCGCGGGAGACACUACUAGGCUAGGAGGCGGGAGAGGCCGACGGUAUUCUCGGGGUAGGGGUGAAAUCCUAUAAUCCCGGGAGGACCACCAGUGGCGAAGGCUGUCGGCUAGAACGCGCUCGACGGUGAGGGACGAAAGCUGGGGGAGCGAACCGGAUUAGAUACCCCGGUAGUCCCAGCUGUAAACGAUGCGGGCUAGGUGUUGGGGUGGCUACGAGCCACUUCAGUGCCGCAGGGAAGCCAUUAAGCCCGCCGCCUGGGGAGUACGGCCGCAAGGCUGAAACUUAAAGGAAUUGGCGGGGGAGCACCACAAGGCGUGAAGCUUGCGGUUC